rnacentral:lncRNA from 1 species
UUUUUUUUGAGACAGGGUCACACUCUGUUGCCAGGCUGGAGUUCAAUGGUGUGAUCUCGGCUCACUGCACCCUCUGCCUCCCAGGCUCAAGUAACCCUCCCACCAAAGCCUCCCAAGUAGCUGGACUACAGGAAAGAACAAGAGAAAGGAAGGAAGGAAGGAAGUUAUACCAGUGAAAUAAUUCAAGAAGAUUAUUGGUGUACAGCAAAAGUAUAUAUUUCCAGAGAGCCCAAUAUGAAACCUCUGCCCAGUAUGUAGGGGGAGUGACUCCUUCCUGAAACUCAGAUACACUGAAACCAAGAGCGUAUGAAAAGAAAGGUAAGCAACAGAAAGAGACAUUUUUAAAGAGACAUUUUUAAAGAUUUAAACAUCUAUUUAACAACUCUGUUUAAAACAAAACAGCUAAUGCAUAGAGAAAACAAGUUGUAAAAAUACAUGAGGAAUGGUGACUGUUUAGUAUUCACUAUUCCAAAAAGUGCUAUAAGAAUCUGUUAGAGGAAUGAUAACUGUUUGGUAUUCAGUGUUCCAAAAAGUGCUGUAAGAAUCUGUAAAGUACCUAUACCCAGAGAUGAAAGCACUUUCCACCAGGAAAGUUAGAGAAGAUGUCAAAAUAUGAAAGUUGAAUUGUAUUGAAAAGU